CAAUAGCGUAUAUUAAAGUUGUUGCAGUUAAAACGCUCGUAGUCGGAUUUCGGGGCGGGCCGACCGGUCUGCCGUUGGGUAUGCACUGGCCGGCGCGUCCUUCCUUCCGGAGACCGUGCCUUCUCUUAACUGGGCGGGUUCGGGAGACGGAACGUUUACUUUGAAAAAUCAGAGUGUUUCAAGCAGGCAGCUCGCUCUUGCAUGGAUUAGCAUGGGAUAAUGAAAUAAGACCUUGGUCUAUUUUGUUGGUUUGUACUCCAAGGUAAUGAUUAAUAGGGACAGUUGGGGGUAUUCGUAUUCAAUUGUCAGAGGUGAAAUUCUUGGAUUUAUUGAAGACGAACUACUGCGAAAGCAUUUACCAAGGAUGUUUUCAUUAAUCAAGAACGAAAGUUAGGGGAUCGAAGACGAUCAGAUACCAU
rnacentral:rRNA from 1 species